CCAUUUCCAGUGCUACAGCUCUCUGUCACCUGGGUCUAGGAGGUUCUCAGCGCAGGGACUCUGGGUCCAAAGGACACACUCAGCUCCUGGCUCCUCUUCUUGAUGGUAGUGAGGUCCCCCUUCAACCUCUGGGAUGGGCUGUUUUUAAGCCUAGAGGGAUGGCAAAACUGACCAAUCCCCUUGGUGGGCCACAGAUACCUUAUUUGCAUAGUCCCACCCUGGCAAGGGUUCUGUGCAUCUUAUUUGCAUAGUCCCACCUAAUUAUUUCCUGGGAAUUACAAGACCAUAGUUAGAAGAGCCAUAUAAAAGCAAUUCACUACACCAAAAAAACAAUAUCCUGUUAUUCUUUCAACACAUUGAUUGAAGGGCUUGCCUGUGCCAGACACUGUGCUAGGCUCUAGGGACACCAUGGUGAUCCAAAAUUGACAUGGUCCCAGCUGUCACAGCCUGCAGUCCAGUGGGGGAAGCAGACAAAAGGCAAGUAAGCAGAUACAUAAGAUAAUUGCUAAUUGUAAUGUGAGGUGGAAACAGAAAAUGGGCAGAGCUAGAGAUUUGCAAGAGGUUUGAACCACCUUUUAAGGUAUUUUGUAAGUCAUCUCCUGGGUUGGAAUUUUUUUACUUAUGAUUUCCACAGGUUAAAUGCAAAUAAUUUUUGUCUGUUUGUCUCUUAGGUACAGUUUGCAGUCCCUGAUGAACCAAGGGAACCCUCCACCAUAUCCGGGCCCUGGUCCAUCAGCCCCGUACCCACCGUAUCCACCACAACCAAUGGGGGGACCCUACCCACCUCCUCAGGGAUACCCCUACCAAGGAUACCCACAGUACGGCUGGCAGGGUGGUCCUCAGGAGCCUCCUAAAACCACAGUGUAUGUGGUGGAAGACCAAAGAAGGGAUGACCUGGGCUCAGCAACCUGCCUUACAGCCUGCUGGACUGCUCUCUGUUGCUGCUGUCUCUGGGACAUGCUCACCUGACCAUCACAGUUCUCCUGUCCUGCCAGCGCUGCCGCUGCCUCUUGACGAGUGUGCCUGCCCCAUCUCUUCUGAUCGCUGAAACAAAUGACUAGCUCUGCCCGGGCACCUCUGCCUUCACCCAGUGGGAUUCUAGAUUAGUGGGAGUUGCUGCUGUUUAAUUCAUUGACUUGAUCAAUGUUCAGAAUCCGGUUCUUAUUGGUCUUUAAUGAAUGUGCUAAAUGACACUCCUUUUGUUUUGGCCAAAGGCUUAUGAAAUAUGUAUAUCUAUAAUUUUGAAAUUAUACACUCAAGGUAGUGGCAAGAUGUAACACACCACUCAAUGAUUUCUCUGCUAGCACCCUGUAUGCGUCAAUAAAUUUGUCCAAACCU